UACGUAGGCAGCGAGCGUUGUUCGGAGUUACUGGGCGUAAAGCGUGCGUAGGCGGUGUCUUAAGUUUGUUGUGAAAUCUCCCGGCUUAACCGGGAGGGUGCGGCGAAUACUGAGAUGCUGGAGUGCCGGAGAGGUAAGCGGAAUUCCUGGUGUAGCGGUGAAAUGCGUAGAUAUCAGGAAGAACACCAAUGGCGAAAGCAGCUCUCUGGGACGGUACUGACGCUGAGACGCGAAAGCGUGGGGAGCGAACAGG
rnacentral:rRNA from 1 species